CACGCUGUAAACGAUGGGUACUAGAAUUUGUGGGAAUUGACCCCUGCAGAUUCGGAGCUAACGCGAUAAGUACCCCGCCUGGGAAGUACGGUCGCAAGACUAAAACUCAAAGGAAUUGACGGGAGCCCGCACAAGCGGUGGAUUAUGUGGUUUAAUUCGAAGCAACGCGCAGAACCUUACCUAGGUUUGACAUCCUUUGACAAUACCAGAGAUGGUACUUUCGUAGCAAUACGACAAAGAGACAGGUGC
rnacentral:rRNA from 1 species